GACGAACGCUGGCGGAGUGCUUAACACAUGCAAGUCGAACGGUGAAGCGCCUUCCUUUUUGGUGGGUGUGGAUGAGUGGCGAACGGGUGAGUAACACGUGAGUAACCUGCCCCCUUCUUCUGGAUAACCGCAUGAAAGUGUGGCUAAUACGGGAUAUUCUGGGUCUGUCGCAUGAUGGGUCUGGGAAAGAUAUUGUUUCGGUGGGGGAUGGGCUCGCGGCCUAUCAGCUUGUUGGUGGGGUGAUGGCCUACCAAGGCGGUGACGGGUAGCCGGCCUGAGAGGGUGGACGGUCACACUGGGACUGAGACACGGCCCAGACUCCUACGGGAGGCAGCAGUGGGGAAUAGUGCACAAUGGGCGCAAGCCUGAUGCAGCGACGCCGCGUGAGGGAUGGAGGCCUGCGGGUUGUGAACCUCUUUCGCCAGUGAAGCAGGCCUGCCUCGUUUGUGGGUGGGUUGACGGUAGCUGGAUAAGAAGCGCCGGCUAACUACGUG
rnacentral:rRNA from 1 species